UCUCCUGAUUUCGUGAUCUGCCCACCUCAGCCUCCCAGAGUGCUGGGAUUAUAGGCAUCAGCCACUGUGCCUGCCGAUGACACUUUUGUCUUCUUAUUGAGAGCUUUCUUCAGUGGCCUCUGAUGAUGGGCGUUUCAGGCUGGAAUGGAGAUCUUUGGGAGGAAGGCCUUGUAGAUCCCUCAGACCAGAGUUCCCCAGUAAAGCAACUUUUACAGUGGAACAAACUGAGAUGGAAAGGGGUGAAGUAAGUUAUCCAGGGGCACACAGCCAGUGGGUAGGUGGUGGUCCACCCAGAGCUGUGGGCCUCAGGGCCAGUGAGCUUAACCAUGCCGCUUGUCUCAAGAUAUUAGGAUCCACUUUCUCUAAGACCCUGGCGAGCACCUGUACUCCUCUGCAGGAAAUAUUGGAAACAUCAUUCUUCUUCAGUGGUGCAUUUACAAUACAGUAUUUUUUUCUUUUAAAUUGAGACUUCAGAGAUGUGUAUGUGUUCAUUUAUGUUAAUGAUUCAAAGGGUCUUUUGCUCUUAGGGAAGCUUACUUUUUUUGCCUAUUUUUAACAUAAAAAUAAAUUUCAGUAAAUAUCACAAUAUUUUUUUCAGGCACCCUGGUGGCUCGUUUUGGGACCUACAUGGUAGGGGGUCCACAUACUAUAUUCUGGAUUUUGAGUGUUUGUCACUUUCACUAAUUUGUUAAUAAGAAAAUGAUUGCAGGAAAUAAUGAAGAUGCAGUCACUAAAUCUGAAUGAGGUUCCAUGCCUUUCUAGCCCUGUUUAUUAACCUGUAUGUUUUAUGUUUUACGUUUUCACCAAGCGCUUUAUCAUGUGUAGUUAUAAUAGUUGAGAUAGCAUUGCUUAUGCAUGUUUGCAUGUUGCUUUUCUCAUGUAAUAAAAUUAAAUACAUAUUUUCUGU